rnacentral:sRNA from 1 species
AGAAGAUUAACAAGUAUCAAUGUAUCAUCAAGGUACAUUAUUAGGGUUCUCUUUUCUCAAAGAUAUUGUUUAUACUUUUAGGGGGUGUUAUUCGUUAAUGGAUUUUAAUAGAAUUGAAAUCCAACACUAAUCCACUGUUAUUCAACUAAUGAUUCUAAAUCCAGCUUUAAAAUCUAGUGUUAUUGGAACUCAUAUUUGUAAAUCAUGCUUAAUAGAUUUUAAAGUUUGGUGUUAUUCAAUUAAGAUUUUAAAUAUUUCAUUAAAACCCAAUGUUAUUCAAAACUAAAAGACUUGUAAAAUCUUUGUAUAUUAAUUGAUUUGAAACGAAACCUUUUUGGAGUUUCAUGAGUAAAUCAUUAGAAUCAAAAUCCAAGACAUAUUGCAGAGAUUUUGAAAUUCAUACAAACAUAUUCUUAAAAGCAAUAUCAGAAAACAAAUCUAAAGCUUAAAGAAUUGACUUUAACUCCAUAAUUGAAUAACACCAUCUUAGAGUUUACUUUUUGUU